rnacentral:rRNA from 1 species
CAGUAGCCACGGUAAUACGGAGGGGGCUAGCGUUGUUCGGAAUUACUGGGCGUAAAGCGUGCGUAGGCGGUGAGUUAAGUCUGCUGUGAAAUCCCCGGGCUCAACCUGGGAAUGGCAGUGGAUACUGGCUCGCUAGAGUGUGUCAGAGGAUGGUGGAAUUCCCGGUGUAGCGGUGAAAUGCGUAGAGAUCGGGAGGAACAUCAGUGGCGAAGGCGGCCAUCUGGGACAACACUGACGCUGAGGCACGAAAGCGUGGGGAGCAAACAGGAUUAGAUACCCCUGUAGUCCCUGUCUCUUAUAC